rnacentral:rRNA from 1 species
UGGGGAAUAUUGGACAAUGGGGGAAACCCUGAUCCAGCAAUGCCGCGUGAGUGAUGAAGGCCUUAGGGUUGUAAAGCUCUUUCGGUGGUGACGAUGAUGACGGUAGCCACAGAAGAAGCCCCGGCUAACUCCGUGCCAGCAGCCGCGGUAAGACGGAGGGGGCUAGCGUUGUUCGGAAUUACUGGGCGUAAAGCGCACGUAGGCGGCCUUUCAAGUCAGAUGUGAAAGCCCCGGGCUUAACUCGGGAACUGCAUUUGAUACUGUUGGGCUUGAGACCGGGAGAGGAUAGCGGAAUUCCCAGUGUAGAGGUGAAAUUCGUAGAUAUUGGGAAGAACACCAGUGGCGAAGGCGGCUAUCUGGACCGGUACUGACGCUGAGGUGCGAAAGCGUGGGGAGCAAAC